rnacentral:pre_miRNA from 1 species
UCUUAUGGAUGAGCAAAGAAAGUGGUUUUUUGAAAAGGAGUCUACCCCUGGAGAAGAUGCUGUGAA